rnacentral:rRNA from 1 species
UACGGAGGAUGCAAGCGUUAUCCGGAAUCAUUGGGCGUAAAGCGUCCGUAGGUGGCUGUUCAAGUCUGCGGUCAAAGCACAAGGCUUAACCUUGUAAAGGCCGUGGAAACUGAAGAGGCUAGAGUGCGGUAGGGGUAGAGGGAAUUCCCAGUGUAGCGGUGAAAUGCGUAGAGAUCCGGAAGAACACCGGUGGCGAAGGCGGCCUGCUGGGCAGUUGCUGACACUGAGGCGCGACAGCGUGGGGAGCAAACAGG